GGGCGUAUGGUCUCAAUGGUAAGAUACUUGUUACCCUUGAAAGGUCUCCGACCUUCCAAGGGUGCUUGUGAUGCUGGUUCGAGUCCGGCUUCGUCCA